GAUCACAAAGUAACUGAUGCAAUUCAAGGAAUAAUAUCAUCAUCUUAAUUUUCCUUUAUUUUGUAAAAUUUGUCAUUGCAUCAUUAUACUUUUUUUUUGGAGUGAGUCUAUUAUUUAAUUAUCCCUGUUAAAGAUAUAGUUAGUUACUAAUUAGGAGGAUUAGUUAGUAGUUUCUUGAUGCCUAUAUAUAGGCUUUGAUGUAAUCUUUUACACUCACUUUUUCUCAUUUUGUAAUAUUUUUCUUCAUCAAUAUUAUAUACUUUUGAGCUAUUUUCUCUCUUCUCCCAUGGAUGCCAUGUUUCUUAACAUGGUAUUAGAGCAAAAAUGGUAUCCACCUUAGAGAAAUAUUCCGCUGCAAUUUUCUCGAGAAAAUUUUAUUUUUUCUCAAUCUUCAUUUUCCAUUGCCCUUUCUGUUCUAUUUUUCCUGAGAAAUUCAUUUUCUAGCACUGUUCAUUUUCCAUCUUAGAAAAUCACUUUUCUCCUCUUUCAAUUUCGAUUUUGUUUACUGAUUUUCUUAUUCCGGUCCAUUUUUUCUUGUUCGAAUUCUUGAUCGAUCAAAUUUUCAGCCUAUGAAUCUUUCAAUUUCUUGUUGAGUUUGUUUCUUUUCCGAUCAAUUUCCGUUCCUUCUUCAUUUUGCGAUUUCUCCUCAAUCGCAAUUUUUCAUCCUUUUCCCCAAAUUCUAGGGUUCGCGAUUUCAAUUUUAAUCGCAUUUCAGUUCACUGAAUCAUUCAUUUCCGCUUCCGAUCUCAUCAUGACUAUGUCUGGUACUGUGAUAUUUGAUAAUUGCUUGGUAUGACGCAUCAUAGAGGAUGCGAUUUGAUUCAAAGUGACGGAGGUUUCAAUUCGACGAUUCUUGGAAGAAUUCGUGUUGAUUGUUAUUCUCUUGGAGUGUUAUUUUCUGCGUUAACAUGCAGAGGUUCGGAGUUUAGAUUGCUCUUGGUGGUGAUCUUUGCCUCUGUUUUCUCCAUCACCUUCAUUGCUUUGAGCCCUACAACAAGUUACUGCUAGAGUAUGGAAUUAAUUUGAUUUGGUUUAGUGGAGCAUUUCUCACACCUAUUGUAUGUUGGAGGAAUUCUUUGGGAUUUUAGUAGCACAAAGUUCUGUUAUUGUUGUUGGCCUUUGCAGUUUGUGAGUGGCUUAUUGGACUUGCUACUGGUUUUGCCUCUGAUUUUGAAGAUUAAAGGCUGGUUUGAGUUCUUUAAUCUACUCUUUGUUGCCCUGUUUUAGGCAGGUGCUUAGCCAUAUUGGCUUUGUUGCAUUUAUGCUAUCUCUUGAGCAGGUUGUAUUUGCUUGCUUUGUCAAGUGGUUAGUUGGUUUUUUUUAUGUGCUAUCUCAUCUUGAGCACAACAUUGGUAUUGAUGCUUUACUCUCUAGCCAUCAACCACGCUACUUGAUCUUUCUCCUUGAUUUGUUGGUCCUUAGAUGAGCUAAUUACCUUUAGCACAACUUGAGUAUUGAUGCUUCACUUUGUAGACAUCGGACCCUUUUGACA